rnacentral:tRNA from 1 species
GCCCGGGUGGCGGAAUUGGCAUACGCGCAACACUUAAAAUGUUGUGCCCAAAAGGCUUGCGGGUUCGAGUCCCGCCCCGGGCA